rnacentral:rRNA from 1 species
UACGUAGGGUGCAAGCGUUGUCCGGAAUUAUUGGGCGUAAAGAGCUCGUAGGCGGUUUGUCGCGUCGACUGCGAAAAUCCGAGGCUUAACCUCGGACCUGCAGUCGAUACGGGCAGACUAGAGUUCGGUAGGGGAGACUGGAAUUCCUGGUGUAGCGGUGAAAUGCGCAGAUAUCAGGAGGAACACCGGUGGCGAAGGCGGGUCUCUGGGCCGAUACUGACGCUGAGGAGCGAAAGCGUGGGGAGCGAACAGG